rnacentral:lncRNA from 1 species
AGGCAGACUAACAUGAUAGUUUGCUGAGGCAAGACCCAUGGGAAAACAUAAGCUUUUUGGAGAAAGUAUUAGUGAGACUCAAAGGAAAGAGACAGGGUGCCUGCAUAGCUCGCUGUAUAGCUCUUUUUUGUCUAGAGUCUUCACUGAUCUUCACUUCAUUGAGAGAGGCAUGGCAGAGAACUCCUGGUGUUCCGGCUGGCUCUGGUUGUCCUGGAUGUUUCUGCUGGAUUGUGCCACCACUGCUGAUUCGUGUUUGGUAUCAUGACACUACUGAAUUGGACUGCUGGUAUCCUGAAAAACAGAGAUUGGAAUCGCCCCUAAAGAAUGACUUCUAAACAGGAGAAGCAAGGUGCAAGACAGGCCAAGCGCCUAGGGAAAA